rnacentral:rRNA from 1 species
UACGUAGGGUGCGAGCGUUUAAUCGGAAUUACUGGGCGUAAAGCGUGCGCAGGCGGUUGUGCAAGACAGAUGUGAAAUCCCCGGGCUCAACCUGGGAACUGCAUCCGAUACUGGAUGGCUUGAAUUCGGGAGAGGGAUGCAGAAUUCCAGGUGUAGCGGUGAAAUGCGUAGAUAUCUGGAGGAAUACCGGUGGCGAAGGCGGCAUCCGUGGACC